AGUCCGCUUCCCAGCCCUACCGCGCUCCUUCCUCCGAGCAUUGCUCGCGUGCGAGUAUUCUGUCUUCGGACGGUGGAAAUAGGAAAAGCUAGAAAGAAGGAAGAAGAAAGAGAGAUGGCGAGCAACGGCAGCAGCUCAUCUCCCAAACCCAACCCUAAAAAAGCUAAUUUGAUGGAUCCUCAUUCCAUCAAACACCUUCUCGACGAAUCCGUCUCCGAGAUCGUCACCGGCCGAGGAUACACCGAAGACGUGCGUCUGAGCAACAUCAGAUUGCUUGUGGGAACGGUCAUCAUCGCCAUUGCUCUCGUCGCGCAGUUCUACCGUAAGAAGUUCUCGGAAAACAAAGAUUUCCUCAUCGGAUGCAUCGCAUUGUAUAUCGUCUUCAACGGAUUGUUGCAGUUGAUCAUCUACAAAAAGGAGAAGAAUGCAAUCCUUUUCACUUAUCCUCUUCCAGGAUCAUUCAACAGCACUGGACUGGUAGUAUCUUCCAAGCUGCCAAGAUUCUCUGACUUGUAUACACUGUCUGUUGCAAGCGCAGAUCCAAAAUCUGUUUCUGGCAAUAAAGCAGUCCAUUUCACAAAGAGUGUUACCAAGUGGUUUACUUGUGAUGGGAUUCUGGUGGAAGGUCUGUUCUGGAAGGAUGUUAGCAAACUGAUUGAUGAUUAUAGUGGAGAUUCUCGAAGGAAUAAAUGAACUCAAACAGGACGAAUUGAUAUGACAUGACACGUCAAGAUAAGAUUGCUGAUUUUGAGAUGAAGCUCAUGGACAUUGACAACGAGCAUCUUGGAAUUCCAGAAGCAGAGUAUCAUGCCAUUGUAAAGAUGCCAUCAGGUGGUCAUGGAAAACAGGACCAUGAUUUUUCAGGCUCAACCGAGUCUUAAAACCAUGAUGCUUGACGGCCAUAAAAACCAUGGUGAAGUUGGAUAAAGCACUGGUAGAACCAGGUGGUGGGUAUUGUCUCUGCAGCAAUGCAAUGGUGUAGGUGAUGUGUGGGUGUUGCAAUGUCAAUGCGGUGGAUGGGGUCUGGCCUUGGUGAAGUUAUUAUUAUUUUAUUUAUUUAACGUGUUCUUGUAAGUGAUUUAACCCAUGAAAUGAAGUGGGUUGAUGGGCAUGCAUUAUGCCACAUGAUCGGCCGGGGAAUGGAAUAAGGCCAUUUCUCAGUAGUGGUACAAUAUAGGCCCCGGCUGGCCUUUUUAUUUCUUGGGCCUGAUCAAGUGCUCAGAUCGAGAUUGGCCCACUCACAGAACUGAUGAAAUGCAUAUGCAUUUGGUAUUAUGCCAUUUCAGAGUGCAUCUUACAGUGUUCUGUUUUCAGGGAUGCAUUGGGAUCACUGUAGAUGAAUCACCCUUUGAUAUUUGGCCUC